AGAUUAUGAUUACUACGGUGGCUACAACGCGGCUGGCUGCAUAAAUAAUUCGCUUUAUUGUUUUCUGUUCGAAUAUGAGUAGAUUGGAAUGAUAUGUCCUUCAUUCAUUCUUGAUUUCGUAAAUAGUUAAGUUUUUAAUAAAUAUUUGAAUGGCGCUGUUUUCAGCUAAACAACUUCUAGAUGAGUUGAUGGGACGUGACAGAGAUUUAGGUUUAGAAGAGAAAAAAAAUGACUUUACUUGGGACGGUCCUGAUAUUUGUAAACAUUUUCUCGUGAAAUUCUGUCCUAAUGAUCUUUUUGUGAACACUAAAGCAGAUUUAGGAGCUUGUCCUAAGAUUCAUGAUGAAAGACUAAAAAAAGAGUAUGAAAAGAGCUCCCGUUUUCAAAGGAUGGGCUAUGAAGAUGAUUUUUUAAGAUUUUGUCAAAGUAUGUUGUCUGAUGUUGAAAAACGUAUAAGACGAGCAAGGACAAGGUUAGCACUUAAUAGCAAAGAAUCAAAUAUAAAUCAACCUCCACAAGUGAAAAAUAGUGAUGAUGAAAAAGUUAAUGUUUUAACUGAAAGGAUCAAUGCGCUAUUGGUUCAGGUUGAAAAUUUGGGAUGUGAAGGAGAAGUUGAAGAAGCUCAAAGUAUAAUGAAACUUUGUGAACAGCUUAAAGUUGAACGUGAAGCUCUCAGGAAGGCUUCAGAAGCAAAUCAUUGGUUUCAGACAGCAGAAAUUGCAGCAGCCCAAGAAAAACAAAUGGAAGUUUGUGAAGUAUGUGGAGCUUUUCUUAUUGUGGGUGAUGCACAGCAAAGAGUAGAUGAUCAUUUGAUGGGAAAACAGCACGUUGGCUAUGCUAAAUUAAAAGAAGCUGUUGAUGAAAUAUUGGACAAUCGAGAAAAAGUUCGUGUUGAAAGAGAAAAGUUGCGUGAAAAAGAAAGAGAAGAAAGACGAAAAGCUAGAGGGGAAGAAGAUAAAAAACGAGAAGAGCGUAGAAAACGCAUAGAAGAGGAACGUAGGGAGACUGAAAGACAUAGAGAUCGGUCUAGAAGAAGCAGAAGUAGAGAUCGAACUCACAAUAGAAGACAUUCUCAUCGUAGUCGAAGUAGGGAUAGUCAUUCUCACAGUAAAGGAAAAGACAAAGAAAGAUCUCGAAGAAGGAGUGGGAGUUCUGAAAGAAAAUGGCAUAGAUCACGUUCCCGUGAUAGUGGACAUCGUGAUAGUCGAAGAUCAAGAUCUCGUUCUACUGACCACAAAAAGGAUAGAAGAAGUAGAGAUCACAGAAAAAGUUCUCAUGAAAAUGGUGAGCCACCAGAGAAAAGUUCUAGAUCAGAAGAGGGUAGUAAAGGGCGCCAUUCCUCAGGUGAUUGACCUCUGAUCUAAUGUUGGUUUUGACAGGUAAGUGAACAUAACCUAUUCUAUGAUGCUCCUUAAGUGAAGCUGAUUUCCGGCAUCUUUCUAUUAUGCAUAGGUGUUUGAGAAGACUGGAUUCAAAGCAAGAUUUUGAAAUGCCGACUUCUAGUUCAAAUAGCAGUUUAACAGGUAUAUAUCUGUGUUAUGCUGUGGACAGCCAACGGACCAUCUCGUGGUUUACUCUCUCUUCUACCCGUUUCUAUACCUGGAGCCUUUUAUGACAGCCUCUAGAGAUGAUCUUCCCAAGCAGAAAUGGACCAUUCCUACAGGUGAAAAAUUUGUCAUCUACUGUUGUAAAAGUGUAAGCAGUAGUUGUAGUCAGUCCAUAGCUGUAACUGUAUAUUAUGUUUUCAUGUAAAAUCUAUCAUUACACUUUUGUUUUAUUUUCUGAAUAAAUUUCUGGACUCUUA
rnacentral:misc_RNA from 1 species